UUGUAAAUUUAUAUGGCCGUGGCAUAUAUUAUCACAAUGCUCGUUACAUUUCUUGUCUUACUUGUUGACAAAGAAUAAACGCUGCAGGUAUAUGCAAUGUUUGUUUAAAUAAAUCGCAUUUAACUCUUGUUGAAAGUUUAAAAUAUUAAAUAUUUCUUUUCGAUGAUAGAAAUAAUGGAAUACUGGAGCUCGAAUCUACCCUUUUUAUUGAAUUAAGAACGGUUAUUUCAACUUUUAGUAAACCUAUCAGGAAUACAAAGUUAAUAAGUAUUUAGAAAUACGAAGCAAGGAACUAGGUCAUUUUAUUGUCAAAAAUAAAAGUAAAAACACACCGUUUGGAAACUACUGAAAAUAUUCAUAGGAAGUAGUGAAUCUGUCUGAACGACUUAACAUGGUUGACGAAAAAGAGUUUUUUAGGGAACACUCCAGCAGUGGAAAAUACCAGAAAAAAUGCUAUGUUUUAAUGCAUAUACGCCAUCUCGAGGAUGACAGAAAUCACACAAUAGAAUUUAUGAAAACACAUGAAAGAGAGAAGAACAAAAAAACAGAAUAAAAAAGAAAUUACCAUUCCGCGUUUCAGUGCCUGAUCAAAAAGAGCCGAUUUAGCAUGGCGAGGAAAAUUUUGAAGAAACGCGAAGCGGAACGCGUUGACGCCGGGUAACUGGAGGCGGCAAGGAUGCUCAAGCAUCUAAAAAGUUAAAACGUACGGACGCUUUGAAUGAAUCAACAGACAUAGGAAAUGAAAUUAAAGUACCGGACGAGAAAGAUUUCCGCGAUAAUGCAAAGAAAUCGCCGAGGACAAAGAGAUAAAUCAAGCAUUUGCUGUAAAUCGCAUAAUUUUAUAUCUAAUCAUUGAUAACUUAUCACAAUAAUCCCCAAAUUUAUCACGGGUUUAUCUACAAAAGAAAUCGAUAAUAACUUUGCGAACAUAUUUGAGCACACUGUGAUAGUCCUCCAUUAGACGUCAACCAAGGCACAAGAACAAUGCAAAGGCAAAAUCUUUUCGCCGUUACCAUAUUUGUGGUGGUCAUAUUCUCUACACUACAUUCAAGCAAGGCAUUGACAUGUUAUGGUUCGUUGCCAAAUGCAUCAUAUACACCGAUAUUGUGUGAAUACCCUCUGGAUGGAUCAUGUGUUAAAUUUACAAAUAAGCUAACUACCGAUUUACGUGGAUGUGCUAUUAAAGAUUUCUGUGAAACGCAAAAGUCAGUCUACAAGUUCAGCAGUUGUUAUGAAUGCCAUACUGAUCUAUGCAAUGCUUCCGCCAAAAAUAUGGUGUCAGCUAUCACAAUAAUAACUUCAGGAUUACUUGCUCUGUUCUGGUCAAUUCAAUAAUUUUUAUAAAUUUUCUUUAUGAUUUAAUCUUGAAUUUAAUUUAAUGCAGCUUGUUACAUCACAAUCUUCUUAAUGACAGAUCAUAAUCUGUUAAUGUAAUGUUCAAAUAAUGUUAUUAAAGUAUUUAAUUCUGUUUAA
rnacentral:misc_RNA from 1 species